GGAGGAAGUGACCCCCAACACCAAACGUAGCUAACAGAUCAAAAGAUAAGACACAAGAAGCACUCGAUUCAAAAUGACAUACGCUCUUUCUGGAAAGUAAAGGAAAAUAACUACAGGCUGAAAAGCACUAGAAAUCAUGAUUUCAUAAGCGCUCAAGCCAGCAUGUAACCUGAGGGCAUCUGCAGAUCCCUGAUGGCCCAGCAUCUGAGAGUCAAGUAGAGGAAAGGGUCAGAACGAGCUGCCCACAAAAGCCAGGAUCUUCCACUGACAAUGACAUCAGAAGUAGUGAACUUGGCUGCCGGAGCCUUUCUUCCCUUUGUGAUGGGUUUGCUGUCUGGAUGAGUAACAUCCCAUCAGGCCAAAUGCAAAAGGGUGUGGCUGUUGAGGAGGGCAUGGCAUUCUUCUUGACUGACACAACCGCACACUCCCUUGAUCUUCCUUCUCCAGCUAUGCCUCUCUUCCAGACCUUUGGCAAAUGUGGAUGGUUUGGGUUCUUCAACCCUC